UUACGGUCAAAUCACGUCUGAAAACACCGGUUCUCGUUCGAUCACCGAAGUUAAGCAUCGUAGAGCCAGGUCAGUACUUAGAUGGGGGACCGCUUGGGAACACCUGGUACUGUAAG